CCUACGGGGGGCUGCAGUGGGGAAUAUUGGACAAUGGGGGCAACCCUGAUCCAGCCAUGCCGCGUGUGUGAAGAAGGCCCUCGGGUUGUAAAGCACUUUCAGUGAGGAAGAACGCCUGGUGGUUAAUACCCAUCAGGAAAGACAUCACUCACAGAAGAAGCACCGGCUAACUCCGUGCCAGCAGCCGCGGUAAUACGGAGGGUGCGAGCGUUAAUCGGAAUUACUGGGCGUAAAGCGCGCGUAGGUGGCUUGAUAAGCCGGUUGUGAAAGCCCCGGGCUCAACCUGGGAACGGCAUCCGGAACUGUCAAGCUAGAGUGCAGGAGAGGAAGGUAGAAUUCCCGGUGGAGCGGUGAAAUGCGUAGAGAUCGGGAGGAAUACCAGUGGCGAAGGCGGCCUUCUGGACUGACACUGACACUGAGGUGCGGAAGCGUGGGUAGCAAACAGGAUUAGAUACCCGUGUAGUC
rnacentral:rRNA from 1 species